AUUUAUUUUUCCUAUAUAUGUCUAUAUAAGGGCAUGUCACACUAAAUACCAAAACUAUCAAUUUGUCUGUAGCAUGCACAAUAUAAAUAAGACAAUAAAAUAUGACAAAAAAUAUCUUUUAACACUUUUUUAUACAUUUUAUGUUGAGAAUGUCUGAAUUGAUCAUACAGAGAAAACUGUACAAGUGUACAGUCAUGUAACUUUUACUCAGUAGCAAAGCUGCCAUUUUUAGAGGAUGGGUUUAGUUAUAUAUAAUCUGACAUUUUUUUUUUCAAAUUUUUCUGUCCAGAAAGAGGAAAUCAGCUGAAAAAGGAAAAAUCACAUCCUUGAAAUUUUAAACUAAUACUAAAAUUUAUUGAAAUAUCAUGCUUUUUUCUCCUAGAAAACAACAGCUGCAGCAACAGUAAUUGCAUGAAAUAGUACAAUUCUUUUCACCAAUUCAUUAAAAGUUACCUGGCAAAGGGAUUCCUAGAUAAGUGAUAAAUCAUUUGGGUCUAUUAAUCUACUACAGUGUAUGUAUAUUGCUUGUCUCACUACAGGAGAUUAUCUCAUGCAGACUGAUAAGAUCUGGCAUGCUUUAUAUUUAGAAACUCAUAACAAGAAAUCAACCAAUGAAAAUAAGUCAGGGAACUACUUCUGGGGGCUGUACAUGUACCACAAAAAGUAAUCCAUAGUUUUUUUCUGUUUUAUAUCAGAGUAAUCUUGUAUAUGAGUAUGUGAUUGAAUGGAAUAAAAUCUUCCUCUAGUACAAAAAUAUUUUAACAUCAUAGAUGUAUCAUUACCUUCAUUAGCUGACUGUAAAUGGCACAUUUGCCCAAGAAUAUCAAAAUUUCAAAUAUAUUUGGAUUCAAAAAUAUGAAGAUCGUUAGUAUUUCAAAUCUUUUUGAAUUUUGAAAAUCCAUAAAUGAGCAAAAAAGUUAUUAAAAAUUAAAAAUUCUGAUUCAACACGCAAACGGUGUUAAAAACAUUUGUUUUGCCAACCACCAGAUAAACAGAUGUUAACGAGUGACGUCACAGCGAUCUCUCCUAUAGAGUAAAAAUUUGGGAGAGUGUUUCCCUAAAUAUUUUACUAUGUGCAGCUUAUUUCAUCUUGGAAGUUAACAAUAAUUUACAGAAUGCACCAGGUGAGUUCAUAAAAUUUAUUUAUUUUCGAACAGUAAUCUAGAUUACCUUUAACAGUGUCAAAACUAGAACAAUGGAUUCUAACAGGAAGCAGGUGGUUUAGUUUUCUCCGUGUAAUGCAACAAAUGAUUUUUACUUCAUGUCAAUUUGUUCCACUGCAACUAUUAUGCAGCUGCAAUUUCUAAUUUAUCAUGCUUUUAAUUUAUAAGAAGGAAAAUUGGAUAUUCUUUUUAAAUGAAAAUAUCAAAUGAAGCAAAAAAAAAAAAAAAUAAGGCCAGAAGAGUUAUCUCCACAGGUGGCACUACUGAGUAAACAAUGCUACCAGUCUGCUGACUACAAUAUUACACAGUAUAUUCAGGGAAUAUUUGGUUUAAAUCAAUGUUUUUUACCUGUUAUUAUAUGAAAAUUAUUUUUUAACAGGAAGAAAUGUUUAUGGAUAAUUUAGUUAUUAUUAUAGAUCAUUAUACCCUUUAUUGAAACAGCAGAGCAUUAUAUCGAAAAUUUAGGAAAAAUACACAUAUUAAGCAGCUUUUUGUUAUUUAUAGGUACUUUUAUUGUAACUUUUUCUUUUGUUAAUUCUGAUAUCUUUAACUAUAUUUAUCUCUUAGUCUAAUUCUUUUCAAUAUUAAUAUGAUUUUCAAAUUUUCAACAAAAAAAAAGUAUUAUCUUUAAUAAUGGGAAUUGCAUGUCUAGUCCAAGACUAUUAUAACUUUUUAGAAUUUUUAUUUUUAGAAUUGUGAUUAGAGCCAGUCUAUAAUUAUCUAAGGUCCAAUAUCAUAUGAUAAUAUUAAAAUCUGUAAAUUAGACUGGCAUUUGUCACAAUAACAUAAAUUUUUAAAAAUCACAUUUUUUUCAAUUUUUUGACAAGUUCUUUAUUAUCAGUCUUGCGGCUAGUCUAGUCUAGUCCACCUACUUAUGAUAGUCUUUGUCUAAUAUUUACCCAUUUCAACAAAAUAAACUGGAAUGUACAAGUAAAUAAAAUUUCUAUGUUCAAGGUUAAAUGUAAAGAUUUAGGUUUUCCCUUUAGGAGUGUUACAGAAUAUUGACAUAUAUUAUAUUUGCAAUGUUCAGGGAGAUUAUGUGAGCCUAUCAUACUUUAACUUAUGGAUAAUAUAUCAAACUUUCCAUGACAUUGAAUAAAAGGCUAAUACAUAUACACAUCAUUUUUAUUACAAAAUUUGCAAAGGCGUAUUUUAUUUACUUUCAAGUAACUUUUUUUUAUUACGAGGUGCAGUGAAUAAUGCAUAUAUUAUUCAUAAUUUGUAAUUUUAAAUGUGUGCCAAAUUUAAAAAUUGUUUUACAUAAUCUUAUGCAAAAUUUGUUUAAUAAGCACUUAUUUAUACUUGUAAAACAGCUUUUACAUAUUGUUACAUGCUAAAUUACAUAAUAUAUAAAUAGCUUCUCCAACUGCUAUGAAGCAAAAAAAAAAAAAAAAUAAACAGUACUGUCAACUGAUGAAUGCAUCAGAGACAUUUUUGGCCUCAUUAUUCAUCCCAAUGUACAGUUUCAAUUUUAGAUCAUUAUACCCAAUAAUAAACUAUGAAAAAUUAUGGACAUCUAAGUGUUAAAUUAAAUCUAUUUUUCAGGUAUAGCAUCAUAUGUGUAUAUAAAGUAUCAGCACACAUGAAUGAAUUGAGACAUGUUUAGUGACCCAAUGUAUUGUGUUCAAAGGCUCCAUCCAACAGUUCAAAGACAUGUCAUAGCAGUGGAGCAAAUGGUGGCAAAUGAUGGCUUUGUGGUGGUUACUGAAAAACUGUGGCAAUCUACAUUGGUGGUGGCAAACACUGACAGAAAAUUUCUGGACCAGCAGUGACAUCAAGUUGAAAAUAAUGACAUAUUUUACACUGUACUGAAGAUGUAAUUGCGAAAAUUAUUUAAGAAAUAAUAUAUCUCAUUCAGUGAUUUGUCACUGAAUAAAUCAUUGUUUGGAGUUCAGAUGCGAAGGAAUUAUAUCACGAGGGCGCAACAUUACUGAAAGGAUUUUCUUCAAACUUUCGCAAGUGAACAAUCUUGACGGGUAGAUACAACUACAAUUACAUUGCAUCCAAAAUCAGUGGCACAGAAACCGGUAGGGGACUAUGUAAUUGCCUUGCAAUACUUCAGCAGCUUGUUGUUUUAUAUGUGCAACCUGUAAAUGAUUAUUGUUGUGUUUUAUAAAGUUAAGAAGUCCUAGAUGAAAUUUUUAGUUUUUGAUUUUAGCCUCACCUAUGGACAUGCACUGCUUAGGGGAGCUCAUUUGUGAUCAUCCUUUGUCCAAGACCGUGAAUCAAACCUACAACCUGCUGCACACAACAUUUUCAUUUAGGAUAUAAUCAUAUGGGAUAUAACUUUUUGCUAUUUCAGGGCCCUUAGAACUAGGCUGGAAUAUUUUCCAGGUUAUACCAGGCUCAUUUUCCAGCAUUCCCUGGAAAAUUUACCAUGGUAAAACAUGGAACAUUUUCCAGCCUAAUCCAGGCUAUGCUGGAAAAUGUUCCAGGCUUUUCCAGACUUAGGUUAAAAAACGGUCCGAAUACUCCAGGUUCAUGGAAAAGCAGGAAUUUUAUUCCAGGCAGCCUGGAAGAUGUUCCAGAUUUUACCAUGGUAUAUUUUCCAGGGAUGCUGGCAUAUCAUGGUACAUAUUCCAGCCUUGGCUUUUUCAAAUUUUCCGCAUUGAUAAUUUGGUUAGGCUGGAAAAGGCUGGAAACUUAGUCCGAAUACUCCAGGCUAUUUUUAGCUCGACUAUUCAUAGAAUAGUAGAGAUAUUGGACUUGCCCAUGCGUCGGCGUCCGCGUCGGCGUCCGCGUCCCGAUUUGGUUAAGUUUUUGUAUGUAAGCUGGUAUCUCAGCAACCACUUGUGGGAAUGGAUUGAAACUUCACACACUUAUUCACUGUGAUAAACUGACUUACAUUGCACAGGUUCCAUAACUCUGUUUUGCUUUUUUACAAAAUUAUGCCCCUUUUUUGACUUAAAAAUUUUUGGUUAAGGUUUUGUAUGUAAGCUGGUAUCUCAGUACUCACUAAUGGGAAUGGAUUGAAACUUCACACACUUAUUUACUGUGAUAAACUGACUUACAUUGCACAGGUUCCAUAACUCUAUUUAGCUUUUUUACAAAAUUAUGCCCCUUUUUCGACUUAGAAUUUUUUGGUUAAGGUUUUGUAUGUAAGCUGGUAUUUCAGUACUCACUAAUGGGAAUGGAUUGAAACUUCACACACUUGUUCACUGUCAUGAUCUGACAUGCACAAAGCAGGUCCCAUAACUUUAUUUUGCUUUUUUACAAAAUUAUGCCCCUUUUUCAGCAUAGAAAUUUUUGGUUAAGUUUUUGUAUGUAAGCUGGUAUCUCAGUAUCCACUAAUGGGAAAGGAUUGAAACUUCACACACUUGUUCACUGUCAUGAUAUGACAUGCAGUGCAAAGGGUCAAUAACUCAACUUUGCAUUUUACAAAAUUAUGCCCCUUUUUGAACUUAGGAGUUUUUGGGUUAAAUUCUUGUAUGUAAGCUGGUAUCUCAGUACCCACUAAUGGGAAUGGAUUGAAACUUCAUACACUUGUCCACUGUCAUGAGCUGAUAAGCACUAUGCAGGUUCCAUAACCCUAUUUUACUUUUUUACUAAAUUAUGCCCCUUUUUCGACUUUCUUAUUCAUUCAAGCGACAAGGCUGUUAAAUAGUCGAGCGUUGCUGUCCUCCGACAGCUCUUGUUUUCCAUGGAUUUCCAUGGUAAACCCUGGAACUAUUUCACCCGGGUCUGGCUACCACAAAACACUGAAUGAAAACUGUGCGGGAAAGAUGUUUGCAAAAUCUUAGAUAUUAUGGGUUUUCCAUAUUAAACUAAGGCGAGCAUAGGGUAUUGUUGUGAUCUUGAUUAACUUGUGCAUCCAAGUUAAAGUUCAAUCGAGAAACCUAGUUUAUCGGACGUAAACAUGGGUCCAAGAGAGUAAACUAUAGUUUAAGCCCGUUAUUCUGUGUGUUCGCUCAAAAAUUUAUGUUAGUAUUCGAUAAUCAAAUUUUUUCGACAAAGAAUGUAAUUGUUGGAUAAUUUGAUUGCCGAGAACCAUUGUAUAUGGACGUGGACCUAUGUUUACGACCAUGAACUUGGUUUACGAGCGUGAACCAUAGUUUAUGAACGUGAACGUAGGUUUAAGGUGGAGCGAUACCUUAUUCAUCAAAUAUGACAUUCCUUCUGAUUUUGAUGAAACUUGGUCCAACUAUAGCGCUAUGGUUCCUUUUUUGUUUUUCAGUCGUCUUGGCAACAAUAAAUAAUCAGUGAUGACUCACGAACGUCGCAACGUAGGGCGCCAAAAUGCCCAAAAUCCGCCGUAUUAGGUCUUCUAAAAUAUCUAAUCAAGAUUUAAAAUAAGCGAAACUUCACAAUAUGAUACUUUAUCUAAUUUACAUACGGACUAGUGUGUUUUUAAGUGGUAUCGCACCACAUUACCACGGACAUUUAUAAUUUUAUUGAGCAACCCAUUUCCUUCUGAUAUAAAAUUUUGACAAAAAAUCGGCAGAUAUACGCAAAAUUGACAUCUUUAAAAAAACUACAAGCCCAUUAAAAGUCUGAUUUUCAGCACAAGCGAUCUUUUUGCAAAUGAAAUUACAAAUGAAAAAGGGAACUUUACGUUUUCAGUUUUUCACAAUAUUGUGUUGAAGACAAACUGUCCUUCCGAUUUUUUCACUUUUCCCUAACGUUAGUCGAAUUUUUAGAUGCUGCACGACUACUUAAAACAGGCGUACAGAUUCAUCGCGCAAUUCCACACAAAAUCAUAUGUUGAUAAAUCAAUGCUACCGAUUUCAUUAUCCAAUGCCGACGGAAUUGUUACAUCGUUAUCAUCCAUAUUAUGGACAUAUCUGCCUCAGGUAUGUUGAUAUAUUUGUCAAGCACUAGCCGAUUCGGAAACCUUUUUUUCACAGCAAAAUGUGUAAAUCUCUAAGAAAACCAACAGUAUAAUAUUCCCAGAAGUCAUUCUCGUCUACAAUUAUGUGAAGUCACUAAUGUUGCAUACAAUUAUAUUUACUACAGAGUUACGCAAAUCUUUUCUCUUCUAAUACGUGGCUUAACAUGUAUUUGAACUAUAUUUUUUCAGUUAAAUCGCUUAUGCAUCACUGCAAAGUUAAACUGUAAAAAAAUCGCGAACAUCGGUUUCUUUAAAAUACCUGCAUGCUUACAUGUAUGUGAUUUGCAAUAUGAAUUUAUUUUCUGUUAGUUUCCAGUCAUAUUUUGCCCCCCUCCCCCACCCAGAUUAAUGUAAAUAAUAGACAGACCUACCAUAAAGAAGUGAAUUUUUGCAGUUAGAAGUAUUAAUGACAAAGACAGCAUCGUAAAAAAUAAAACUUUUUUAAAAACCUAUAUUACGCUGAAGU